rnacentral:sRNA from 1 species
UAUUCUGCCCCAUGGGGAAGGAUGAGAAGCCUUCGACUAAGGUUCGACUCGAGCGAAGCGAGAGAACGUUGCCGC